GGGGGCAACCCCUUGAGGGUGGCGAACGGGUGAGUAAUAUAUCGGAACGUGCCCAGUCGUGGGGGAUAACGUAGCGAAAGUUACGCUAAUACCGCAUACGAUCUAAGGAUGAAAGCGGGGGAUCGCAAGACCUCGCGCGACUGGAGCGGCCGAUAUCAGAUUAGGUAGUUGGUAGGGUAAAGGCCUACCAAGCCAACGAUCUGUAGCUGGUCUGAGAGGACGACCAGCCACACUGGAACUGAGACACGGUCCAGACUCCUACGGGAGGCAGCAGUGGGGAAUUUUGGACAAUGGGCGAAAGCCUGAUCCAGCCAUUCCGCGUGCAGGAUGAAGGCCCUCGGGUUGUAAACUGCUUUUGUACAGAACGAAAAGGUUUCUAUUAAUACUAGGAGCUCAUGACGGUACUGUAAGAAUAAGCACCGGCUAACUACGUGCCAGCAGCCGCGGUAAUACGUAGGGUGCAAGCGUUAAUCGGAAUUACUGGGCGUAAAGCGUGCGCAGGCGGUUAUAUAAGUCAGAUGUGAAAUCCCCGGGCUCAACCUGGGAACUGCAUUUGAGACUGUAUAGCUAGAGUACGGUAGAGGGGGAUGGAAUUCCGCGUGUAGCAGUGAAAUGCGUAGAUAUGCGGAGGAACACCGAUGGCGAAGGCAAUCCCCUGGACCUGUACUGACGCUCAUGCACGAAAGCGUGGGGAGCAAACAGGAUUAGAUACCCUGNUAGUCCACGCCCUAAACGAUGUCAACUGGUUGUUGGGUCUUAACUGACUCANUAACGAAGCUAACGCGUGAAGUUGACCGCCUGGGGGAGUACGGCCGCNNNGUUGAAACUCAAAGGAAUUGACGGGGACCCGCACAAGCGGNGGAUGAUGUGGUUUANUUCNAUGCA
rnacentral:rRNA from 1 species